UACGAAGGGGGUUAGCGUUGUUCGGAAUUACUGGGCGUAAAGCGCGCGUAGGCGGUGAUCUUUGUCAGAGGUGAAAGCCCGGGGCUCAACUCCGGAAUUGCCUUUGAAACGGGAUUGCUUGAGUCCGAGAGAGGAUGGCGGAAUUCCUAGUGUAGAGGUGAAAUUCGUAGAUAUUAGGAAGAACACCGGUGGCGAAGGCGGCCAUCUGGCUCGGUACUGACGCUCAGGCGCGAAAGCGUGGGGAGCAAACAGG
rnacentral:rRNA from 1 species